GCGCGGUAUUUCCAGCCUCCGUGACUCACUGAUUCCACUGGGCUAUUUGCAGCCCCGAAACUCACCAGCGCGGGGUUGGGGGUGGAGCCAGGCCAGCUUCCCAGUCUCCCUCGACCCUUACCCGGGGUCAGGCUCACCUUGGCUUCCCGACCCCAGCGAUGCCCCUCCCAGGGUCGCGCGAAGGGGGUGGGGGCUGGGGGCUGGGCCGCUGGCAGCCCGGGCUGAGAAAAGGAGAAGUUUCUCCAGAAGCGGCCAGUGGGGCCGAAUACCAUCCCCCCCCCCCCCCCCCCCCCCCCCCCCCCGGCCCCAGAACCAUCCCCCCGCCCCCGACCGAGGUUCCGGAGCUGAAGAUUUUGCAGGGGACAGAGCAGAGGCUGUCUGAGAGAGCCCUCCGACCAAGGUUUGGAUCCCGACCUCCUCAGCUUCACCCACACUGUGGCUCCGUGGAGAUCGAGACUCAGGCAGGGGGUUCAGAGGAGUUGCCGGAUUGCUGCAGCCUUCUGUCCAUGAAAAGCAGGCUGUGAGCUUCUGGAGGACUGAGUUAUGUCUGUUCUCUCUGGAUCGCCUCUGCCUAGGAGGGAUUCUGCUGGGACGAGAGGCCAUCAGCCCUCUGGUUAGGAGCAACCCGGGCUUGCCUGGGUGCCAAUUCCAACUACCCCAGUCUGUGGGGCCCGACUACACCCCUCAGCUCGUCGGACCUCACCUCCCUAAUCUGUGCUGCCUCACACUGGCUCUGCAAGGAGGCCGCUUCCCUGGCCUGGGGCAAAUGGCCAACACACGUUUGUAGAAAACCGAUAAAAUAGCCAUUGAAUAUCUAACUGGACAUUCAGCGAUCUUAAUCAGAAAGCCUUGAGCCGCGCCUACUCGGAUGAGUUGAUUCAGCAUUUCACACAACGCUGUGCCGCGUACGCCCUCACACGCACUCCAGUGACCCCGCUUCCUGCGGGGUAACACGCCUGCCCUGGGAGGCGGGGACCACCUGGUCCCUUGUAUCCCGAGGGGCACGUGAGGCUGGUUGCAGUAGCUGCUGAGGAAGUAACCGCUCCUGUUUGUAUCUGUUCAGACAUGAUACCCCGUCACCUUUCUGAGCACCUUCUGCCCCCCCCCCCCCCCCCCUUGAGAAGCAGUUUCCCUUAUUUCCCGUUUUGGAUUGCCUGGGAAUUUCCCCCACCUGGUAUCCAUGCCUCCCAGUGACCUACAGACUUGCACGAGAGUGACUUGCCUGUCGCACUGGGACAUCCUGACCCCGCUCUGGCCGGC